UACGAAGGGGCUAGCGUUGCUCGGAAUCACUGGGCGUAAAGGGUGCGUAGGCGGGUCUUUAAGUCAGGGGUGAAAUCCUGGAGCUCAACUCCAGAACUGCCUUUGAUACUGAAGAUCUUGAGUCCGGGAGAGGUGAGUGGAACUGCGAGUGUAGAGGUGAAAUUCGUAGAUAUUCGCAAGAACACCAGUGGCGAAGGCGGCUCACUGGCCCGGUACUGACGCUGAGGCACGAAAGCGUGGGGAGCAACAGGG
rnacentral:rRNA from 1 species